rnacentral:rRNA from 1 species
AUAGCCACUGGAAACGGUGAUUAAUACCUCAUAAAGCCAUUUAUCCGCAUGGAUGAAUGGACAAAGAUUUAUCGGUACAGGAUGGGCCCGCGUCUGAUUAGCUAGUUGGUAAGGUAACGGCUUACCAAGGCGACGAUCAGUAGCCGACCUGAGAGGGUGAUCGGCCACACUGGAACUGAGACACGGUCCAGACUCCUACGGGAGGCAGCAGUGGGGAAUAUUGCACAAUGGGGGAAACCCUGAUGCAGCAACGCCGCGUGAGCGAUGAAGGCUUUCGAGUCGUAAAGCUCCGUCCUAAGGGAAGAAUUGAUGACGGUACCUUAGGAGGAAGCCCCGGCUAACUACGUGCCAGCAGCCGCGGUAAUACGUAGGGGGCAAGCGUUAUCCGGAAUCAUUGGGCGUAAAGGGUGCGUAGGCGGCCUGACAAGUCAGAGGUGAAAGGCUACGGCUUAACCGUAGUAAGCCUUUGAAACUGCCAGGCUUGAGUGCAGGAGAGGAAAGUGGAAUUCCUAGUGUAGCGGUGAAAUGCGUAGAUAUUAGGAGGAACACCAGUGGCGAAGGCGACUUUCUGGACUGUAACUGACGCUGAGGCACGAAAGCGUGGGGAGCGAACAGGAUUAGAUACCCUGGUAGUCCACGCCGUAGACGAUGAAUACUAGGUGUCGGGGGAGACUUCGGUGCCGCAGCUAACGCAUUAAGUAUUCCGCCUGGGGAGUACGCACGCAAGUGUGAAACUCAAAAGAAUUGACGGGGACCCGCACAAACAGCGGAGCAUGUGGUUUAAUUCGAAGCAACGCGAA